rnacentral:rRNA from 1 species
GAUGAACGCUGGCGGCGUGCCUAAUACAUGCAAGUCGAGCGAAUGGAUUAAGAGCUUGCUCUUAUGAAGUUAGCGGCGGACGGGUGAGUAACACGUGGGUAACCUGCCCAUAAGACUGGGAUAACUCCGGGAAACCGGGGCUAAUACCGGAUAACGUUUUGAACCGCAUGGUUCGAAAUUGAAAGGCGGCUUCGGCUGUCACUUAUGGAUGGACCCACGUCGCAUUAGCUAGUUGGUGAGGUAACGGCUCACCAAGGCAACGAUGCGUAGCCGACCUGAGAGGGUGAUCGGCCACACUGGGACUGAGACACGGCCCAGACUCCUACGGGAGGCAGCAGUAGGGAAUCUUCCGCAAUGGACGAAAGUCUGACGGAGCAACGCCGGGUGAGUGAUGAAGGCUUUCGGGUCGUAAAACUCUGUUGUUAGGGAAGAACAAGUGCUAGUUGAAUAAGCUGGCACCUUGACGGUACCUAACCAGAAAGCCACGGCUAACUACGUGCCAGCCGCCGCAGUAA